GUCCCCGUAGCUCAACUGGAUAGAGCAGCGGUUUCCUAAACCGUCGAUCCCGGUUCAAGUCCGGGCGGGGGCGCCA
rnacentral:tRNA from 1 species